CCUACGGGUGGCAGCAGUGGGGAAUUUUGCGCAAUGCUCGUAAGAGUGACGCAGCGACGCCGCGUGAAUGACGAAGGCCUUCGGGUUGUAAUCUUCUUUUAUCAGGGACGAAGCAAGUGACGGUACCUGAUGAAUAAGCCACGGCUAACUACGUGCCAGCAGCCGCGGUAAUACGUAGGUGGCAAGCGUUAUCCGGAUUUACUGGGUGUAAAGGGCGUGUAGGCGGGAGUGCAAGUCAGAUGUGAAAACUAUGGGCUCAACCCAUAGCCUGCAUUUGAAACUGUACUUCUUGAGUGCUGGAGAGGCAAUCGGAAUUCCGUGUGUAGCGGUGAAAUGCGUAGAUAUACGGAGGAACACCAGUGGCGAAGGCGGAUUGCUGGACAGUAACUGACGCUGAGGCGCGAAAGCGUGGGGAGCAAACAGGAUUAGAUACCCUAGUAGUC
rnacentral:rRNA from 1 species